AGCUUUGCGCAGUGGCAGUAUCGUAGCCAAUGAGGUUUAUCCGAGGCGCGAUUAUUGCUAAUUGAGAUCAUGAGGGUAAACAACUGAUAGACUUACAACCAUUCUGUACUCAUACAAUUAUUGUGGGUUUUUUUU